UUAUUUUGUAUACUUUAUUGUAUGCAAAAUAAUAUGUAUAAUAAACUCUUUCAGUGACAAAAAUUGGAUAACAAAUGUGCUUCAGGCUUCAUAGGCACACACACACACACACACACACACACACACACAAGGAUAUCAAUACAGCACAAACACAGAAGAUUACAAACACACAUAUACGUAAUCACUAAGUUUGUAUAAUCGAGUUGAAACGUAAAUUCCUAUAUAUACGCAUAGGCAUAAAGUAUAUUGUAUGUAUGUAUGUAUGCCUGCCAGUUUGUAUUCAUCCUUCUCGUAAACACAAGGAUCAGGGCAGAAAACUAUACUCAAACUUUAGAUUAACCAUAAAAAUAAAGUUGCCAAAAUACCAUAUGGCUAUCUAUGAAUAUUCCGGCGAUCGUCCAUUUUUAAGCCUAUUUUCUGAUUAUUUUUCUCCCUGGUGUCCGUACUAACUGGAAAGGUGCGUACAGAUUGGCGUACAUAUGUAUAGAUUCCUGGUUUAAGCUUACUGUGUUUCUGUGUGCUGUGGGGAAGGAUGCCGGGGAGGUAACAUUGAUUUCUCCACUGUACUCUAUUCAGGAGCAGUAAGUAGCGGACUGUUUUUUUUAUUAUUGUUUUCUUUUUUUUUACGUCCUUGCACUGUCUCCUCUGCUGAAAAAAAUAAAAUAAAUAAAUAAAUAAAAAUAAGGUCCCUAUUCUGACACUUUCCAGCGCACAUGACGACUAAUUUCAAAGGAGGUUGGUCAGGUUCUCAGGAGUGCUUUUUCAUGCCCAUAGUGUAGAGGCGUUAGCACACUAUCACCAGGCUCAUAUAACUACCCAUGGGAAUACUAACAACCUCCGUGGAAGCCUCGCCAAGUGUGGGUGUGUGAGAUGUGAAUUGUGUGAGAAUAUGUGGACCUGACAAUCGGGUUAUAGCAGACAUACAUUGACUUUUAACCCAGUAGCAGCGACGGGCCUAAUUUGUGGCUUUACCGUGCACCAGCGACAGGCCAAAUUUGUGGCUUUACCGUGUAGCAGCGACAGGCCAAAUUUGUGGCUUUACCGUGUAGCAGCGACGUGCCAAAUUUGUGCCACGAUAUAAAGCUCCCAAAAUAGAUGAUACAUAAACUGACCACAAAUGUGCUGAUAUGUAUUAUGAAAUGGUUUGUGUGAGUGAUGAUUUUUUUCUCAUUUUUCUCGCUUAGAGGGACCAUUAAGAAUCGUGAUCCCCGCUGCUGCUGGGUUAAGAUUAUUUCACAGUAUUCUUGGCUUGGAUUUGUGUUGGCUCCUGCUCUGGUUAAAAUGUGAACUAUCAAUAGACUCUUUACGGGAAGCUGAGCCAUUAUGAACACAGGAACAUGAAUAAAAAUUAAUAUAAGGAAAAGAAAGAGAGAUAAAAAGAUAUUAGUAAAGAAAAUACACAUAACUUUCUUUCAAUUGGUCGGUGUUUCUUGGUCACACUUACAAACACAGUGAAAUGCAGGUAAUUUGUGCUGGGUGAGAAAUUCUGUGAGAGGAACUUUUUUAUAUCAACGCUAAUCAUAGAAUCAACGUCUUGUCUCUGCAGCCAUACACGAGUGCAUACGUAAAUAAACACAUCUAGGUGCUGGGUAAAGGUAUCCGACACACAUCUUGCAGUACCAGAGGGAUCGAAAUCAUGGAAGAGGAUCACAACAUGCCUUAAAAGUUAUGCCAUUCACUCAAGUUUCCAAAAAUAUUUCACAGGUUGCGUUCGUCGGAAUCAACGGACGUCGGCAUUUCGUCUACUCUAUGACACGGAAGUUUACCUGUUGUGCGUACUUACUCGUUAAUAAAAGUAUACUCACACCUUUCCAUAGACCAUUAAGCAUUUGUACAGACAGUGAAUCAUAGCAGUAUCAGAUGACCUUAUUUCUAGUGGGUUCGAACAUCAACCUCUAUGAAUGUGUUAACAAAAGUAUACUCACAUUUUUCCAUAGACAAUCAUUCAGGGUUUUGUACAGACACUUAGUGGAUCAUUGGCUUUAUGAGACCCUUAUUUCUAGUGGGUUUGAGCGUCGACCAAUGGAAGGGAAGGGUCAGAGCAAGGUGAUUCAACCCCGAAGACAUCCCAAGACUACACAUUUUCAUAGAUCAUUUAGCUUUUGAACAGACUUAGUGAAUCAAUGCCAUUAUGAGACCCUUAUUUCUAGUGGGUUUGAGUGUCAACCAAUGGAAGGGAAGGGCCAGGUUGAGGCAAUUUCAACCCUAGUAGUAUUUGAAGAUAUCCCAAGCCUAUCUAACAUCCCCACAGUGGCAUUUAAUCCUAUACACAACGUAGCUAUAAUAAUUUCUGACAUACACGCACACAUACACACACGUUAUCACAGUUAUAAUCUACAGUACCUUCUUCAUAAAUACACACACACACACACACACACACA